UGGUGUGCACGGUGUGGGGAGGGAAAGAAUCAGGCGGUGGUAAGGUGCACAGCCCCUCAGCGGCCUUGCAGCCCCAGCCUAGCCCCAGCGAACACCUUGCUGCCGUCCUCCUAGUGGGGACACCAAGAGCCCCGGGCCAUAUGCCCAGAGCGGAGCCCUCACUCUCUCUGCGUGCUUGCCACCAAACUCAGCUCGCCUGAGACCUGGAGCUUGGAUCCUGCUUGCUGGACAAUUGUGGAAAGCUUGAGCCCAGGGAAGCUGGCAGACUUCCCAGCCACCCGUGGAUUAACGGCAACCCUGCCAGAGAGUGAGCAGAAGAAUUGAAGGAGGAUAAAAAUCAAAUCGGAGUCUGAAGCAGAGGUCUCUGUGUAAUAGGGAUCGCACCCUUACAAGCUACAGGAGCUGGCAGGGGAGCCAGCCCUCUGAGGGAAGCUGGUCAGCUGGCCUAUGAUAACAUGACCCACUCAAAAGGGCAGGUCGUACUCAGCUCCAACAGAUUGAUGUCAUUUGGGAAUGUGGACCCAGGGUGGGCAGAGAGUCCAGAAGUAAUUGUGCAAAUCCAAAACAAAACAUGCUUGUGGACCAUCAGUUCGGAACCCUGGUGACGUAAAUAAAAGGAAUUGGGCAGGAAUAACUUGUCCGCUGUCCACCAACGGACCAGUGAAGUGAGAUGUGGCAUCUACCUCAUUCCUGUCACCAGGGAGGUGACUUCCACUGUGAGGAGGUCUGAGUGAACAAUCCCUGGAGAUUAUCCAAUUCCCUUUGCUUUGAUUGUAUGCUCACCAAACAAACUUCUGCUUACUAGUUUGGUUUUACCAAAAAACUUUAGAACUAGCAAGGGAGGGGGUGACCUGAAUCAGGAAAUAUAUUUAUUUCAGUCCCUGGAAAUGGAUUUCUGUGUAUCAAGAAAUUGGCAUUAUGAUUUUCUACCCAGCUUAAGCAUCUGAACCAUUCCUUUGGUGGUGUUUGGCAUUUGUCUGCCUUGUAGAGCUUGGAGAGCUCUGGGUAAGCUGACAAAAUAAGAUUCUGGGGCUGAAACGCUGAGUAUGUGACCUUGAUCUAUAGUGACCUAAGAAUGUGUGUGUGGCCCUUCUCCCUCUUCAGAAAUAAACCACUCAGCCUUCUUUUUGUAAAUGUGGCAGACGCCAUUUUCCUGGUGAAUGAGGGCAAAUCUUCGGCUUUGUAAUUCAAAACUGUCUUAUCUCAUCCUUUGAUUUCAAGUCCCCAGACUUUUCUUUCUGUGUCCUUCUUCCCCCCUCUACCCCUCCCAUGCUCCCAUUUGUCAAGCUACUAAGUUUUUUUUUAGGGACCUGCUGUCCUUCUGUGUUGUCUUUACUUUUCUUCCUGCCUUUUUGCUUUUUGGUGUUUUUCUUUGGAAACCCACCAGCUUCGUCAGCGAUCUUAUUAAGUUCCCAUAUGCUACACGGUCCUUAGGACAGAACCAUGCCUUUGGAGCUGGGUUGACCAAUAUGGUAGCCACCAGCCACACGUGCCCCCACCUGUCGGUCUGUCAUACCGUGGUGGUGUGUGUAUUGCUGUGAUGCUGGAAGCUAGGCCACCUGUACUUCAAAUAUCAGCAGCGUCACCCAUGGUGAACAGGUUUUAUCAGAACUUCCAAACACAGACAGACUAGGAAGAAAGGCCUGACAGUCUACUUCUGAAAAUUAGCCCAUGAAAACCCCAUGGAUCACACAGAAUGUUGUCUGAUAUAGUGCCAGAAGAAGAACCCCGUAGGUUAGAAGGCACUCAGGAUACACGGUGCGUCUAGCAAUGGACUUGAGCAUACCAACAGUUGUGAAGAUGGUGCAAGACUGGGCAAGGUUUUUCUUUUUUCUGCUGUCAUGGGGUUGCCAUGAGCUGGAGCUAACUUAAAAAACAAAAACAAAAAAACCCAUUGGUGUCGAGUUGAUUCUGACUCAUAGUGACCCUAUAGGACAGAGUAGAACUGCCCCACAGGGUUUCCAAGGGGAAGCUGGUGGAUUCAACUGCCAACCUUCUGGUUAGCAGCUGAGCUCUUAACCACUGAGCCACCAGGGCUCCUUGGAGCCAACUAGAGGACAACUAAAAACAAGCCACAUGUGGCUCUCGAACACUUGAAGUACUGCAAGUGUAAAGUACACACCAGAUUGUGAACACUUGCUAUGAAAAACAAAUAUAAAACGUCUCACUAAUAAUUUCUUUAUUCUGAUUGCAUAUUGAAAUGGCAGUAUUUUGGCCAUAUUGGGUUAAUUAAAUGUUUUGUUGAAAUUAAGUUCACCAAGUUCACCUAUUUCUUUUUAAUUUUUUAGUGGGGAUAUUAGAACAUUUUACAUUACAUAUUAGGCUAGCAAUAUAAUGCUAUUGGACAAAGCUAUUUUAGAUUCUUAAUAUUGGUAUUCUUUACAUCUUUAUAAGUAGCAUAGUAACUGCAUUAAAAAUUGAAUUUAGAUAGAAAUCCCUGAAUUAGCCCUUCAUUUCUCUUUUAUCUGGCCUGAUCCACCUUUUCACCUUAUUUUCAAUUUUCCUUUUCUCUAAGAGGCAAAAGGAAAGGGGGAAAUUUUCUUUUUUUGAUGUAGAAGCAGGCACGAGACAAAUACGUUUAAAUGUAACGUGGAAAUAAGAAAAACUGAAAGGAAGUGAGACUGCCUGUAGACAAUCUGUUAACAAAACACAGUACGUAAUAUACACACCUGGACAGGCAUCGAUCCCAUGGGAAAACCUAGCAACUUUAAUUACUUCACCUACGGGCUCUACGCUGAGAACUGUUUCUUUCCGUUUGAGUGGAAGCGUGCAGCUAUGCAGGAGUAAGCUGUCAGAAGUUUUGUUUCUCUUAUACCAGACCUGUCUUCUGAGGCUCGUCUUUGCAUGAUUUAUGUAAAGGAUAAUUAACACACGUACCGCACGGACAGCAAGGAUAGCAAUAACGAGAGCAGGCUUGGAGUCUGAGGGAUCUAGGUUUGAUCCUAGCUUUGCUACUUGUUAACUCAAUGGUUUUGGGCUGGUUACUUCCCCUCUGAGCCUCAUUUGAAAAUCUGUAAAAUGGGUACAAUAGGACUAUAACCCCUGACAUGUAUCUGCCCUGCCUCUACUCCUAGGCAUUCUCUGCUCUGCAAAUCUGAUCGUAUCUCUGCCUUUUGCCAAAGGAAUUUUCUCCCUUGCCUUAAGCUACAUAAGUUAAGCUUUGAGAGGCCCACUGACCCGGGAGCUUGAUGUUUAUCCUCUGUGUUUAUUUGGGUGAACCCAAGGGAUUGGUCUCUGAUCCAGACUGGAGAACUUUCAAAGUGAAGAACGGUGGCUUGCAGGAUGCUUUCACGAUGGGCAAGGAGAGAAGGUUGGUCAGGGAAUGCCUUGCAUUAAAGCAUGUGUAGGCAAAGGUUACCUGUCUAUUUCCUGCAGAUUAAAUGUAAAGAGCAAAUGAAUACCAGCACACGAUGGGACCCAACUGUGAGCGUCUCCUUACAGAAUGCUGAAAACCGGCCUGUGGAGGGAGAUAUAGCAACUGGGGAGGGUUUGGUGCUGAGGUGUCUUUGUGGAGCCCUCGGAUGUGACUCAAGAAAAGGGGCCAGCUUUUAAACACCUGUCAACAUACAAAGCAGCCCUGGAGGGUCAGCUUCAUACUUGGAGAAUAACGCUUAAUCACGGUUUAUACUUCAUUCUUUAGCUACAUUUCGAUCCUUUUCCCUUGCCAGUUAUAAGAAACUUUCUCAGUUCCCUGAACUCCUCUCUUCUCGCUAGGCUGUGGACCAGCCUGAGACCUCCUCUCUGGGGAUCCUCUGGCCUUCCUUGAGUAAUUCCUGUUCCACGUAGACUUCUCCCGGCCCAGUGGGU